rnacentral:rRNA from 1 species
GACGAACGCUGGCGGCGUGCUUAACACAUGCAAGUCGAACGGAAAGGCCCUGCUUUUGUGGGGUGCUCGAGUGGCGAACGGGUGAGUAACACGUGAGUAACCUGCCCUUGACUUUGGGAUAACUUCAGGAAACUGGGGCUAAUACCGGAUAGGAGCUCCUGCUGCAUGGUGGGGGUUGGAAAGUUUCGGCGGUUGGGGAUGGACUAGCGGCUUAUCAGCUUGUUGGUGGGUAGUGGCUUACCAAGGCUUUGACGGGUAGCCGGCCUGAGAGGGUGACCGGCCACAUUGGGACUGAGAUACGGCCCAGACUCCUACGGGAGGCAGCAGUGGGGAAUAUUGCACAAUGGGCGGAAGCCUGAUGCAGCAACGCCGCGUGCGGGAUGACGGCCUUCGGGUUGUAAACCGCUUUCGCCUGUGACGAAGCGUGAGUGACGGUAAUGGGUAAAGAUGCACCGGCUAACUACGUG